rnacentral:lncRNA from 1 species
ACGUGGGCAACUGUAUCCCCGCCCACAAUGGCGAAGUGAGGCGGGGCCGAAGGCGGGGCCGAGGGGCGGGCUUGGAGGACGGGACGGGGGUGCGGCUAGAAGAGGAGGAGACUGAUACGGGGGGGAGGAGCUGAAGCCGUCUCUGGUGGAGAGUGUGCGUCAUGACGUCAUGGCUCAGAGUACUUAUAUACAGGCGCCUGGCCGCCAUCUCGGUCUUUCGUGGCUGCGAGCUGGCCGUUCCUGUGAGUUGUUCUUUGCUGCUAAGAACCGCGGCAGGCAUGACUCCAAUGUGGAUUUUGAUGGCUUCUGUUGGGCAGUUGUGUACCAGAAGGAUGACAACUACUGCUGGGGUGUUAAAGCGCAAGCUUGGUGCUGUGUCUAUGAGCAGACAGAUGAUGGCUACAUGUUUUGUUACGUGGCUGACUUCUUUGGGGUAAGACACGAAAACAGUGACUGCUGGCAUUUGGGCUUAUAGUGUUUCUGAAAUGUGCUGGUCCAAGUAGUUGACCUUUGAUAGUGUUUUCUGAUGUUGGACAGAUCAAUCUUAUCUAAUUACUAAGCAAGGUACUGUUAGUGAUGAUUUUUAUAAUAAAACAGAUGGGAAUCUCUCUGAAAAAGCAUGAAGUUUUAAAAAACUGAAACAGUAUCUUGAAUCAGUAUCAAUAGUAUUUUGAAAUCUAUUACUACUUACUAAAAGUAACUUAAUUUCUGCAGGUGUGAAGAGAGGUAGUGACUACAAUGCAAGGAAUCAGGAGUUCUAACCAAAG